GCAGCAUGGAGGAAGAAGAGGGUGCUAAAGAAAAUACAUUUUAAAAGGCUUUAUCCAGUGUAUGUUGGUCCACUGUAAGGAGGGUACAGUGGCACAGUACACAUGGACAGUUGGGAAGCAUUUGUUUUAAGAACCAGCUGGAUCUUCUGGACUUCCCUGUGCAACCAUGUGCUGAGUGAGCGUCAGUCUCCAGAGCAGCUCACAGGAAGUCCAGCUAUGUGUCAACAGAAAGCUGCAUCACACUGUCUGCGAUACUGAAGACAAACGGCCCACAAAACACUCCAGAGGGAAUCAGUCAAACACGUCUCCUCCUUGUGGAACUAGAAGGCGAGACUCCCCGUGAUGCAGAGUGAAGAAGGCUUCUGGCUUCAGUCCUUUCUGUUCCAGGGCCUCUCUGAGACGACCUGGUGGCUCCAGGCGAGAGCAAAGGUUCCCCAGUGAAUGGCCACAGACUGUUUGGCCUGGAGGUCUUGGUGAAUCUGAACAGCUUCUUCUGGAUCUACAUGCUGCCCCUGCAUCAUAUCCCUGGAAAACCGAAGAUCACACACAGAAGAAAGGACCGCGUUUUACACUCAAACCUGGGCAGGUAUGCUCCGAUGGGGAUUGCUGCGAGGUCAAACGGUCCAAAGCGUUGUCCGAUCUCCUGGAAGGAAGAGCAGUAGCCGGUAUCACCAGCGAAGAAAAAUCGAUGGUCCGGACCCAAAACAGACCAGCUUCCCCAUAAAGACUGAGAGAGAGUACAAGAUAGAGUUAAAAUAAAAACCAUUU